rnacentral:misc_RNA from 1 species
GAUGAAGAACGCAGCGAAUUGCGAUAAGUAAUGUGAAUUGCAGAAUUCAGUGAAUCAUCGAAUCUUUGAACGCACCUUGCGCUCCUUGGUAUUCCGAGGAGCAUGCCUGUUUGAGUGUCAUUAAUAUAUCAACCUCUUCAGCUUAUGCUUGUUGAGUGUUGGAUGGUGGGGGUUUGCUGGUGUCUUAUGAAGUCAGCUCCUCUGAAAUGCAUUAGCGGAACAAUUUGUUGACCGUUCAUUGGUGUGAUAAAAAUAUCUACGCUAUUGACGUCAGUCAGUUCAGCUUCUAACAGUCCAUUGACUUGGACAAAUUUUUCAUUAAUGUGACCUCAAAUCAGGUAGGACUACCCGCUGAACUUAAGCAUAUCAAUAAGCGGAGGA